UACGAAGGGGGCUAGCGUUGCUCGGAAUCACUGGGCGUAAAGGGUGCGUAGGCGGGUUUUUAAGUCAGAGGUGAAAUCCUGGAGCUCAACUCCAGAACUGCCUUUGAUACUGAAGAUCUUGAGUUCGGGAGAGGUGAGUGGAACUCCUAGUGUAGAGGUGGAAUUCGUAGAUAUUAGGAAGAACACCAGUGGCGAAGGCGGCUCACUGGCCGGUACUGACGCUGAGGUGCGAAAGCGUGGGGAGCAAACAGGG
rnacentral:rRNA from 1 species